UGAGGAAUAUUGGUCAAUGGGCGGAAGCCUGAACCAGCCAAGUCGCGUGAGGGAAGACGGCCCUACGGGUUGUAAACCUCUUUUGCCGGGGAGCAAUGCCCAGCUCGCGAGCUGGGAAGGAGAGUACCCGGAGAAAAAGCAUCGGCUAACUCCGUGCCAGCAGCCGCGGUAAUACGGAGGAUGCGAGCGUUAUCCGGAUUUAUUGGGUUUAAAGGGUGCGUAGGCGGUCUGUUAAGUCAGCGGUCAAAUGUCGGCGCUCAACGCCGGCCUGCCGUUGAAACUGGCGGACUUGAGUGGGCGAGA
rnacentral:rRNA from 1 species